GUCUGCAGCUCCCGUUCAGUGCGCAGUGCAUCAGCAGAGCGCCAGCAGCUGGCUCAAAGGACGAACAGCAGGUUGCCAGACUGAGCCUCAGAGCUAUUUUAAACCGAUUUCUCUCGUUCAAAAAAACGGUGAUGUCAGCAGAGACUGGUCUACUUGUUGGAUGAAUCUCAUUCAUGUGGUAGUAAAGUCCUCUCUUUGCGAGGACGGAAGUUAAGUCACAUGCGCAUUGACGAGCUGGAGGGCUGCGUAAUGGAGAUCGUGGGAAAGGACAAUAAUUUGUGAACUGCGUACGGGAAUGCCAGGAGGGAAGCGUUGGUUUGAUACCCCGUGAGGGCACCCAGGUGGAUCAUCUGAGCAGCAAUGAAGACGCACCCAGCAGCGUCUGUUUCCAGCUUUAGCGCGCACGGACUAUGAAUGAGGAAUGACCAAUGCCUCUUCUUUGCAUCAGUCUCCUUGUUCUUGUGCUUCUACCACUGUCACUCUGCUGUGACAAAAACUUAUCGGCAUUUCAAGACCUUAGUAUGAUUUUACCAGCACAAAUGGAAAAUAUUAGGAAAAAUCUGACAAAGGAACUGAAAGACAUAUCCUGCCAAGAGCUGAAAAACAAAGUGCCAAACUGUACGGUGCAAACAGAGGAAGCUGAUAUUAUGGAAACCCUGUUCUUGCAAGCCUGUGAUAUGUUUCGUCUAAAACUACAACCGAUGAAAACAAUGGCUGAAGUUGUCCAGACGUCAUUAAAGCGCCACUGUCCUACAAAACACCCCAGGUUACACAGAGGGGCGACGCCAAGAAACCGAGCAGGGAAGAAGAUGAGAAAACUUUGCAAAGCUAAUGCAAUUCUGUCUUCCAUGACUGUGUGCUACGAGAAGCUGAACAUGCUAUGCAGGACAUGAGACCAAAACAAAAGAAAAGCUGCUGUCGGUCUCUCUGCACUGUGCUGUCGUUUCGGAUUAUGCAAGAAAAAGCUUCCAGUUAAUUCAAGCUUUCCUGUAAAGUAUCAGUGUAUCCGUCUUGCUGCUGCUUUGGGUGUUGCACGACUUCUGACUCUUGAGAUCAGUUUCCAAGCUAAACAGAAACAAGUCACAAGCCAAAUGAAACAGAACUGCUCUUCCAAGUCUGACAGACUGAACUUUCUCACGGUGUGUGAAGGAGGAGCCUUGAGCUUUAUGUUUCAGGUGCUGCAAAGAGGAACUUAUACAAAAGGCAUUUGAAAACAAUAAGACAGUGGUUUAAGAUGUGUUCAUUGAAUAACCUAUUUCAGAAGAUUAAGUUAAAAAGAAGCAUUGGUGUUUUUACUUUCGGGAAAACAACCUGGAAAUAUGGUGUUCAAAUGAAGUUUUGCUUUCACUUUGGAAAAGAAUGGCCUGACUAGUCCCAACAUAUUUUUGUUAUCUCUGUUAUCUGUAGCCGGUUGUUUUGGGCCAUUUCACGUCAUCAGCGCUGUCUUCAGUGACAAUGUGUUCAUUACCUGCUUGCAAUGAUUGAUAUAUUAAAAGCAUAUUUUACCACAGAUGGCUGAGUGCAGCUCAGAGGCCUUAUUACUUAUGUGGGAGACAUCGAAGAGGCCUUUCCCACAAGUUUAACUUGUGUUUAAUGAUACCUUUGUCAGUAAAAAAAAAAAGACAAGUCAUGCUCAACCAGCAGAUGUGUAGUAUUUGUAUGAGAAAUGUAAAAUAAUAAUAAUGUAGGAAUUCAGCCUUUGCUCUUUUUCUCUACUACUACUCUCAUUGCUUCUUUUUUUCAAAGGUACUUUAAUGUAGCAUUUUAACCAGAUGAAAGGUUCAUUUCUAAGUAUAUAUAUAUAUAUAUAUGUUGUAUAUGAGAUUUCAUUGGU